rnacentral:rRNA from 1 species
AACGAACGCUGGCGGCAUGCCUAACACAUGCAAGUCGAACGAGACCUUCGGGUCUAGUGGCGCACGGGUGCGUAACGCGUGGGAACCUGCCCUUAGGUUCGGAAUAACUCCCCGAAAGGGGUGCUAAUACCGGAUAAUGUCUUCGGACCAAAGAUUUAUCGCCUUUGGAGGGGCCCGCGUUGGAUUAGCUAGUUGGUAGGGUAAAAGCCUACCAAGGCGACGAUCCAUAGCUGGUCUGAGAGGAUGAUCAGCCACACUGGGACUGAGACACGGCCCAGACUCCUACGGGAAGCAGCAGUGGGGAAUAUUGGACAGUGGGCGAAAGCCUGAUCCAGCAAUGCCGCGUGAGUGAUGAAGGCCUUAGGGUUGUAAAGCUCUUUUACCCGGGAUGAUAAUGACAGUACCGGGAGAAUAAGCUCCGGCUAACUCCGUG